rnacentral:rRNA from 1 species
AACGAACGCUGGCGGCAGGCCUAACACAUGCAAGUCGAGCGAGCAUUUCGGUGCUAGCGGCGGACGGGUGAGUAACGCGUGGGAACGUGCCCUUUUCUGCGGAAUAGUCCUGGGAAACUGGGGGUAAUACCGCAUACGCCCUUUUGGGGAAAGAUUUAUCGGAGAAGGAUCGGCCCGCGUUGGAUUAGGUAGUUGGUGGGGUAAUGGCCCACCAAGCCGACGAUCCAUAGCUGGUUUGAGAGGAUGAUCAGCCACACUGGGACUGAGACACGGCCCAGACUCCUACGGGAGGCAGCAGUGGGGAAUCUUAGACAAUGGGGGCAACCCUGAUCUAGCCAUGUCGCGUGAGUGAUGAAGGCCUUAGGGUUGUAAAGCUCUUUCAGCUGGGAAGAUAAUGACGGUACCAGCAGAAGAAGCCCCGGCUAACUCCGUG